CCCGGCGUGAGCUCGUUGUCAGCACCCAGAGUGUUACGAGUCUGUAAAAAUGUGGGAUGAAUGAAUGAAUGACCCAGUCAUGGCUGGACAGGCUUUGCCCAGCAGAAGGGUCAGGGGUCUGCAGCCAAGGGAGAGGAGGGACAAAGGUCCUGGUCCUGCCAGCGUGGGAACAGCUCCUUCCUUUCCUUCCAGCAGGCGCCCAACACCCAGGGACUGGGAGCCAGAUGCUCAGAGGCUUGACAGCCUCAGGGAGUCCAGACUCACCUUCCAGAGCGGCCCCUCCACCCCUCAUGUCACCAGACAUGGGGAUUCAGCCUGGAUCGGUCCAUCCCGUGCGCUGAUGAAAGGGCAAUGGUGCAAAAUUCGUUGGGGAGAAAAACAGGAAGUGGAGCCUGAGAGCAAGGCUGCAGAAACGCUCCCCGGGCGUUGGCCGCCCUUCCACCCGCAGCCUUACAGGAAAGUGGCGAGGGGGCAGCCCCAGCCCGGGCUGUGGGGGCGUGCGGUGGGGGUGCUGGUGGGAGAGUCCAGGAAAGACCCUUCCGCUGUAUUUUUAGGGGCUGUGUCUUGUAGAGCAAACGCUACCUCUGUGUCCUGCACUUGACAUCUCCUCUCACCUGUUCACAGCGGCUCCUCAAGAGUCGCAGAUGGAGUCCCCCCAGGCCCACGGAACCUGGCCACCCGUACAGAAGGCACCGCGGCCCCCCACCCCCCUUCUCUGAGGUCGAAACCACAAUGUCGUGCUGUGGCCUUCACUCACCCGUCACGACAGGGGUCCCUUUCCCAGAAGCCUCUGGGGGCUGCCAGACCACAGCAGAAGCCAGGUGUCACCAAGCCUCGCGGUCUGUGCCACCACCAAGGGACGAGGCUCCAAGUUUCACUCAUCCAUUCAACACACGUUGUCAAAUGUCACCAGACACGGUCCUGUGCCCUGAGGAUACUGCGGUGACAACGACUCUGCCUGCGGGACAUUCAGGUGGGGGCGGGGCAGAUUCAGAAAUAAACAAGAAACAAACAAACGCAUCUGUAAUACCUCCCGUGGCAGUUGGUGCUCUGGAGAACGAAGCAGGGGGGUGCCCUCCUCACCCUGCUUGGGCUGCACCCCCCCGCCCCCCACAUCACGCAGCUGCUGCCCUCACCACACACAUUGCCUU